AACGAACGCUGGCGGCGUGCCUAACACAUGCAAGUCGAGCGAGAAAGCCCGCAAGGGUGAGUAAAGCGGCGCACGGGUGCGUAACACGUGGGUAAUCUGCCCUAGAGUCCGGAAUAACUCGCCGAAAGGCGUGCUAAUGCCGGAUGAGACCACGGGAGCCUCGGCUCCUGCGGGAAAAGGUGGCCUCUGUAUACAAGCUAUCGCUCUAGGAUGAGCCCGCGGCCCAUCAGCUCGUUGGCGGGGUAAUGGCCCACCAAGGCUACGACGGGUAGCUGGUCUGAGAGGACGAUCAGCCACACUGGAACUGAGACACGGUCCAGACUCCUACGGGAGGCAGCAGUGGGGAAUCUUGCGCAAUGGGCGAAAGCCUGACGCAGCAACGCCGCGUGUGUGAUGAAGGUCUUCGGAUCGUAAAGCACUGUCGCGAGGGACGAAUAAGGGGCGGGCUAACAUCCCGUUCCGAUGACGGUACCUCGAGAGGAAGCACCGG
rnacentral:rRNA from 1 species